GGGCCCGCACAAGCGGUGGAGUAUGUGGUUUAAUUCGAUGCAACGCGAAGAACCUUACCAGGGUUUGACAUCCUGCGAAUCUCUUGGAAACGAGAGAGUGCCUUCGGGGGAGCAGUAGUGACAGGUGGUGCAUGGCUGUCGUCAGCUCGUGUCGUGAGAUGUUGGGUUAAGUCCCGCAACGAGCGCAACCCACGUCUUUAGUUGCCAGCAUUUAGUUGGGCACUCUAGAAAGACUGCCGGUGACAAACCGGAGGAAGGUGAGGAUGACGUCAAGUCAGCAUGCCCCUUAUGUCCUGGGCUACACACGUGCUACAAUGGUUAGGACAAAGAGUCGCGAGCUCGCAAGAGUCAGCU
rnacentral:rRNA from 1 species